rnacentral:rRNA from 1 species
UACAGGGGGGGCAAGCGUUGUUCGGAAUUACUGGGCGUAAAGGGCUCGUAGGCGGCCAACUAAGUCACACGUGAAAUCCCAGGCUUAACCUGGGAACUGCGUGUGAUACUGGAUGGCUUGAAUCCGGGAGAGGGAUGCAGAAUUCCAGGUGUAGCGGUGAAAUGCGUAGAUAUCUGGAGGAAUACCGGUGGCGAAGGCGGCAUCCUGGACCGGCAUUGACGCUGAUGAGCGAAAGCUAGGGGAGCAAACGGG